GGAUUGCAGACGCUUGUGUUUAGAUGGAGACGAUGCAAGAUCAAAGCAUCUUGAAAUGUAUGUACCACGUGAAAGACAGAAACUCUGGAAUGCCUCUGAGACCUGCAGCAGAGUUUGAGUGCAAGAACAGUUUUCUUUACUGCGGUGGCAAUUUUGUCCUUUCUGAUGCCCUUUCUGCUGAAGUUUCUGUAUCUGCAAGGGCUUCGACAACCCUUGGCCAAAUGCUAGGAUGUUAAGAAAAUUUAAAGUUCAUAUUAGACAGUCAGCCUGAGAAAGAAAAAAACUCUGACAUCAGAGAAAGGAGAUUCCUACAAUCAGAAAGGAAAAUCUACCGACCAAUUUUUGUGCACCUAAUGUUAUGAACUGGACUGUGUCUCCCCAAAAUUCACAAGUUGAAGUCCUAACCCCCAGUAUCUCAGAAUGUGACUAUAUGAGGCCAUUAAAAUGGGGACUCUAAUUGAACCUGAUGGGUUUUCUUAUAAGAAAGAAAAUGCGUACCCAGAAAGAGACACUAAGAAUGGGCAGAAAGAAAAGCUCAUAUGAGAACACAGAGAAAGGCGGCCAUCUGCAAGCCAAGAGAAGAAACGAACUCUGCCGGCAACUUGAUCUUGGACUUCCAGCCUCCAGAACUGUGAAUGAAUAAAGGUCUGUUGCUGAAGCCAUGCAGUCUGUGGUAUUUUGUUAUUACAGCUCUGCCAAACUAAUGCAAAUUGUAUUGUCAGUCCCAGUGCCUGUUAAAACAAUCAUCAUUGAGGUUGCUUUGAUGUCCCCAUUCUACGGAUAAAAAGUAUGAACCUCACCAAUAUUAAGUAAUUUUUCUGCAAUACCGGGCUAGAAUUCAAGUGCAGAAAAGGGUAGCCUUGUAUUCAC
rnacentral:lncRNA from 1 species